AGAACGAACGCUGGCGGCAGGCUUAACACAUGCAAGUCGAGCGCUGUAGCAAUACAGAGCGGCAGACGGGUGAGUAACGCGUGGGAACAUACCCUCCGGUUCGGAAUAACUCAGGGAAACUUGAGCUAAUACCGAAUACGGUCGAGAGGCGAAAGAUUUAUCGCCGGAGGAUUGGCCCGCGUUCGAUUAGCUAGUUGGUGAGGUAACGGCUCACCAAGGCGACGAUCGAUAGCUGGUCUGAGAGGAUGAUCAGCCACAUUGGGACUGAGACACGGCCCAAACUCCUACGGGAGGCAGCAGUGGGGAAUAUUGGACAAUGGGCGAAAGCCUGAUCCAGCCAUGCCGCGUGAGUGAUGACGGCCUUAGGUGUAAGCUCUUUCGCUAGGGACGAUAAUGACGGUACCUAGACAAGACGCCCGGCUAACUUCGCGCCAGCAGCCGC
rnacentral:rRNA from 1 species